UGAAUGAGUAAAGGACCAGUAUUGGAAGAGGUUUCUGACUUGGAUGUUGCAUGUCAGAAAUUAUUUUGCCUUUGUUCUUUGGUAUCUUCUGUAUAUCCAUCCUGUAUUGAUAAACUAUCCAACUUAAUAUUGUAUAAUCUUGCAAACUUAAAGACUUGGAGAUGAUCGGUAACAUCAGUUUUCUUGAUAGAUUUUUCUCAUUUCAUUUAACUCUGAACAUAAUGGAAAAUUGCCUCUAUAAACAUUUCACAUGAAUUUCUUUACAGAACUGUGGUUUACAACUGACAGAUGAACCCGAUCAACGUUGCUAUCCACUGGAUGGUCGUCUCUUAUGCCGCAACUGUCACCUACAUCGUCUGCAUGCAAUGGGUCGUACAACUUCCAAUAUUCAGGAUGUUGGUGCCACCUAUGUAGAAUAAGAGGAAAGAGGGUCACUCACAGUUUCACCAAGUUUAAGUGCACGGAAAGAAUCUUUCUUUAUUUUUAUAUGUUUUGUUUUAAAGCUAUUAAAACAGUAAGAGAGAUUUUAUUUACAGUAGUAACGUUCUUGAUCAUAAGUCUCUUAAUAUUUGAAAAACAACAUUGUUUUCAAAAACUUGUGAUAAAACUUGUUACUUUCUUUUUAUCCAUACAAAUCUUUUAUCAGAACUUAGACACAAGCUUUGUUUUAUCAGUCAGUACCUCUAAGUUUUAUUAUUUUUUAUUAUACAAAGAAUCAAUCUGUCUCUCUAUUGAAGAAUAUUUAAUUGUUUUGGUACUGAUAGUGAAGGAGCUCACUAGGUGUAAGCUGCAGUGUUGGAGCAUUAAGCAAUUUAAAGAUUUUUUCUUUUAUCAAAAGCAUUGGAGUUUGGAAUUCUUUUUUGGGAUAUUCCAGUUUGUGUUCCUAGUGUCUGUGUGUACAGUAAGUUACUGUAGGACUGAUUGUCUUGUGUGUUUUGAAAAAAAGUUUUUGUGCUGCUGUAGUUUUAAUUAGAAUUUGAAUUUCAUCAGUUUGAAGUAUCUUGGUUCAUAAAUUACACAAAGUAUAGCGAGCGGGAAUAUCCUUAACCUCUCUUUGCUGUGAUUGCAUAUAGUAUUACGAGGUUCUGCAGUAUUUCUGCACUGUGAUGAGUGAGUGAGAGUGAGUGGUUAUGUGGUGCAUCAGAACUGCACCUUGCAGCAGCUGACCUGGGCAAUGGGGCAGACAGUAGUGUUCCUGGAAAAGCCACUGUAAUACUAUCAUUAAUAUGUGAAUUUAAAUUGUAAUAGUCUACAAUACAUCUUAAAGCAUAAUAGAGUAUUGCCAUAAUAAUGAUGUAAGACUCUUCCAAAUACUUUUGAGCAUAUUCUCCGCUUGAUGAAAAUAUUUCAAUAAUAUUUCAUAUUUCAUAAGGAAUUUUUAUAAAAUAAAUCCAUAAACUUUACAUUUAAUAUAUCCAAAUAAUUCUGCAUAAACUUUUUCAUCUUAUGAGUUGUCAUGUUGACAAAAGUUCGGAGUAACGAGCCACAUAAUGCUGCUUUGCUGUAACUUUUUCUUCAUUCCACCACUAUUAUUAAUGUACUGCACAAAUCUUCCUCACAUUAAUAUACAGAGAGAGACUUUCCUUUACUAUUAUAAAUAAAAGUUGUAGAUACUAUUAAUGGAAAUAACUUUUCAAUGUCUUCCUUUUGAAUAGGUUAUUGUGAUGACUUUUAUAAUUUAUUUACUUUGUAAUGGGUUCAGGAGAGGAGUUUUACCUACAAAUUAUUAUUUUCAUGGGAAAUAUCAAACACACAAGAGUAAUACAGCACCUUGGGAACAGAAGACAGUCAGUCUUGAUCCAAGGAAGGAGAGAGCAGCUCUACUUUCUUAAAUUAAGGCAACCAUUUUGAAAGGAAUUUGCUGGUGAAGGGCUCUUGAUCCAAGUAAGUGGAAUAUAAACAGUGGUAGUAGAAAAUUCUUAUUACAGUGAUUUGUUCAAGACUCUAUCAAGUUGUAUUAAAACAACAGAAUUCUCUGUAACCAGUGUUUUUAUUCUCUUUUGUGUACCUUAAAUCACACCUGAUUGCUCCCCAUUUGCUUUCUUCCCAAUUUUAAUAUUAAUAUUGUAAGGAAUUUACUUACACACAAUCAUCUUUUUCAUUUUUGUGCACAUUUGAACUUUAUUAUUUAUCAUGAACACUGAUGUGUUUAUGGCAAUGUUUGCAACAUAUGUGUUGAUGGCUGUCUCUGCAGCAUAUGUUGAUGGCUGUCUACAGUAUGUGUGUUGAUGGUUGUAUCUGUAGCAUGUGUUGAUGGCUGUGUCUGCAGCAUGUGUGUUCAUGGCUGUCUCUGCAGCAUGUGUGUUGAUGGCUGUCUGCAGCAUAUGUGUUCAUGGCUGUGUCUGCAGCAUGUGUGUUGAUGGCUGUGUCUGCAGCAUGUGUGUUGAUGGCUGUAUCUGCAGCAUGUGUUCAUGGCUGUCUCUGCAGCAUGUGUGUUGAUGGCUGUGUCUGCAGCAUGUGUUCAUGGCUGUGUCUGCAGCAUGUGUGUUGAUGACUGUAUCUGCAGCAUGUGUGUUGAUGGCUGUAUCUGCAGCAUGUGUGUUCAUGGCUGUCUCUGCAGCAUGUGUGUUGAUGGCUGUGUCUGCAGCAUGUGUUGAUGGCUGUGUCUGCAGCAUGUGUUGAUGGCUGUAUCUGCAGCAUGUGUGUUGAUGGCUGUAUCUGCAGCAUGUGUGUUGAUGGCAGUGUUUGCAGCAUGUGUUCAUGGCUGUGUCUGCAGCAUAUGUGUUCAUGGCUGUCUCUGCAGCAUGUGUGUUGAUGGCUGUAUCUGCAGCAUGUGUGUUGAUGGCUGUAUCUGCAGCAUGUGUAUUGAUGGCUGUAUCUGCAGCAUGUAUGUUGAUGGCUGUCUCUGAAGCAUGUGUUGAUGGCUGUCUCUGCAGCAUUUGUAUUGAUGGCUGUGUCUACAGCAUGUGUGUUGAUGACUGUGUCUGCAGCAUGUGUUGAUGGCUGUGUCUGCAGCACAUGCGUUGAUGGCUGUGUCCACAGCACAUGCGUUGAUGGCUGUGUCCACAGCACAUGCGUUGAUGGCUGUGUCUACAGCAUGUGUGUUGAUGACUGUGUCUGCAGCAUGUGUUGAUGGCUGUGUCUGCAGCACAUGCGUUGAUGGCUGUGUCUACAGCAUGUGUGUUGAUGACUGUGUCUGCAGCAUGUGUUGAUGGCUGUGUCUGCAGCACAUGCGUUGAUGGCUGUGUCCACAGCACAUGCGUUGAUGGCUGUGUCCACAGCACAUGCGUUGAUGGCUGUGUCCACAGCACAUGCGUUGAUGGCUGUGUCCACAGCACAUGCGUUGAUGGCUGUGUCUACAGCAUGUGUGUUGAUGACUGUGUCUGCAGCAUGUGUUGAUGGCUGUGUCUGCAGCAUAUGUGUUGAUGGCUGUGUCCACAGCACAUGCGUUGAUGGCUGUGUCUGCAGCAUGUGUGUGUUGAUUGCUAUGUAUACACUAUAUAUUCUGAUGUCUGUUGCAUACAUGGUGUUAUACAAGACAACAUAGCAGUUAAGAGCUCUAUGCUACACACUUGUGUGAUGUGGAGCUCUGUCUGGUAGUCAUCAUUACUGAACACUGUUAACAAAACAUUACUGACAUUAAUAAUACUGAUCUCCCUUUAAUUUUCCUGUGGAAACUUUAAAUCUGUUUUCUCAGCUUCAUAUGUGAUUAAUAAGUUUUUAGUAUAGAAUUUGAUCAGAUUGACUAACCAUGUUUAAAAAAAUAUUAUAUUCCUUGAGUUUGAAUUGUAAUUAUUCAGAAUAGUUUAUAAACAGCCACCACAAUAAUAAUUUAAUGAUGUAACCCAACUGGAAAGAAAGCUGUAAGAUUUGCAGAAUUUUGUUGAUGUGAAUUUUUGUUUAACUCUGAAUGUCGAAGGUUCAGUGUCAUUACUAGCCAGUAUAAUAAGUGCAUUAGUAGCUAAAAGAAACUUCUCAGACAUGGUACAGUACAGUGCCUUUAGAAAGUGGUUUUUCAAAUAAAAACUAAACCAAUAGAUUUAACACCGAUCAUUGUAGAUACGAGUUAGUUGUUCUGAAUGGUCUUCCCACCGAAUUUCUCCAGUUAGUGGUUCUUGAUACCUUACCCACCGAUUUUCUAGAGGAUCGCAUAUUUCUUAUGAUGUACAUAGACAAUAUAGGAUAAUAUAAUUUUUUUUUAUUGCAAAUAUAAUUACCUUUUAUGUUUGAUACAAUAAUUUUUCUCUUUUGGAAUUUUUGUGCUGUAUUCUUUAUUUGGAAAAUAAAUUUUCAGUUUCAGAAUGAUCUCCAAAGUUCAGAAUUUUAAUUAGGGAAACAUUUUUAAUUUAAAAUGCAGGUUAGAGUUUGUGUGUUCAAAAUGAAGAUGUUUUAUGUUUCUACACAAUAAAGCAUAAAUUCUGUGUUUGAUAUGUCUAUUAUAUCUAAAAUAUUCAAAUUAAAAUAGCAUUCAUAAUUUUAAUACAAGAUCUCUUUAAUUUGGACAUACAAUGUAAUCCCGAGUUUCAACCAUAAUUCGUUCCAGAGAGCUGUUUGAGUGCCGUUACCAAAUGAAUUUGUUCCCAUAAGGAAUAAUGUAAAUUAGAUAGUCCAGUUUAGACCCCCAAAAAUACACUUACAAAAGCACUUACACUUACAUAAUUGUUCAAGUUAGGAGGUGGCCAACACUUGGGAUACCACUGUAUUCAGAAUUUUCUGAAGAAUGAAAAUUCCAAAUAUUAAUUCAACAUAUAUCAUCUAUACUUCAUCAUUUUUUCGAGAGAGAAAUUUCUGAGUUGCAUUUUGAAUAUUUCUGCAGACUUUUCUGAACACUAACCUGAAUGAGAAAUAUUGUUCUAAAUUUUCCUGACUUGCUUAAAUUUAUUUAAAUAAUUAACAGUUCAGAACUAUAAUUUAUUUUGGGCUAUGAAGUACUUUUUUUAAUGUUAAAAAUAUUAGUGGUGUAGCUGCGAUAAUGCUAUCAAAAUUUGAUGAGCUUAAUGACACAUUACUCACCAUCUUAACACACAUCCAGUGGUAUAAUACUCGAUCCAUUUCCCAUGAACAUGCAUCCCAUGAUGCAGAUUCUCCCUGGACCCAUAGGCAAAUCUCAUUGUGCAAUAAUUAACCGCUCCUUCAGUCCCCCACCCAUCCCCUGAAUGCUAAUCCCAUGGUGCAAUACACAACCCUGUCCUCUCAUCACAAAUCCCAUAGUGCAAUACUCAACCACCUUAUCUACAAAUCUCAUGGUGCAACUUGGUACUUGAGAUUAAGACACAUGUGCAACAACUGGGUAUCUUUAAUGUAGACGUUUCGCCAUCCAGUGGCUUUAUCAAUACAAAUUCUAGGACAUAACUUGAAGACAGUAGAACUAUGUUCAGAAGAUGAGGUAAUCAGUCCCUCAACCUAGGAGUAGGUGCGAAGAGCACCAUAGUCGUGGAGAUUCACACACAGAUAAGAAGGGAGGCCCAAUGACAAUAUGAAAACGACAUAGCAGUGAAAGCUAAAUCUGACCCGAAGCUGUUAUACAGCCCCAUCAGGAGGAAAACAACAGUCAAGGACCAGGUAAUCAGGCUAAGGAAGGAAGGAGGAGAGACAACAAGAAAUGACUGUGAAGUAUGUGAGGAACUCAACAAGAGAUUUGAAGAAGUGUUCACAGAGGAGACAGAAGGGGCUCUAGAAAGAUGGAGAGGUAGGGCACACCACCAAGUGCUGGACACAGUACACACAACCAAGGAAGAAGUGAAGAGGCUUCUGAGUGAGCUAGAUACCUCAAAGGCAAUGGGGCUGGAUAACAUCUCUCCAUGGGUCCUGAGAGAGGGAGCAGAGGCGCUAUGUGUACCCCUAACAACAAUAUUCAAUACAUCUAUCGAAACAGGGAGAUUACCUGAGGCAUGGAAGACAGCAAAUGUAGUCCCAAUCUUUAAAAAGGGAGACAGACAUGAAGCACUAAACUACAGACCAGUGUCACUGACAUGUAUAGUAUGCAAAGUCAUGGAGAAGAUUGUCAGAAGAGUGGAGGAACACCUAGAAAGGAAUGAUCUCAUCAACAGCACCCAACAUGGUUUCAGGGACGGGAAAUCCUGUGUCACAAACCUACUGGAGUUCUAUGACAAGGUGACAGCAGUAAGACAAAGAGAGGGGUAGGUGGAUUGCAUUUUCUUGGACUGCAAGAAGGUGUUUGACACAGUUCCACACAAGAUUAGUGCAAAAACUGGAGGACCAAGCAGGAAUAACAGGGAAGGCACUAGAAUGGAUCAGGGAAUACUUGUCAGGAAGACAGCAGCAAGUCAUGGUACGUGGCGAGGUGUCUGAGUGGGCACCUGUGACCAGCGGGGUCCCACGGGUCAGUCCUAGGACCAGUGCUGUUUCUGGCAUUUGUGAACGACAUGACAGAAGGAAUAGACUCUGAGGUGUCCCUGUUUGCAGAUGACGUGAAGUUGAGGAGAAGAAUUCAUUCGAUCGAAGACCAGGCAGAACUACAAAGGGAUCUGGACAUGCUGCAGACCUGGUCCAGCAAUUGGCUCCUGGAGUUCAAUCCCACCAAGUGCAAAGUCAUGAAGAUUGGAGAUGGGCAAAGAAGACCGCAGACGGAGUACAGUCUAGGGGGCCAGAGACUACAAACCUCACUCAAGGAAAAAGAUCUUGGGGUGAGUAUAACACCAGGCACAUCUCCUGAAGUGCACAUCAACCAAAUAACUGCUGCAGCAUAUGGACGCCUGGCAAACCUCAGAACAGCAUUCCGACAUCUUAAUAAGGAGUCGUUCAGGACCCUGUACACCGUGUACGUUAGGCCCAUAUUGGAGUAUGCGGCACCAGUUUGGAACCCACACCUAGCCAAGCAUGUAAAGAAACUAGAGAAAGUGCAAAGGUUUGCCACAAGACUAGUCCCAGAGCUAAGAGGUAUGUCCUACGAGGAGAGGUUAAGGGAAAUCAACCUGACGACACUGGAGGACAGGAGAGAUAGGGGGGACAUAACUUACAAAAUACUGAGAGGAAUUGACAAGGUGGACAAAGACAGGAUGUUCCAGAGACUGGACACAGCAACAAGGAGACACAGUUGGAAGCUGAAGACACAGAUGAAUCACAGGGAUGUUAGGAAGUAUUUCUUCAGCCACACUGUAUAGUCCUUGUGGCUUAGCGCUUCUUUUUGAUUAUAAUAAUAAUCUUCAGCCACAGAGUAGUCAGGAAGUGGAAUAGUUUGGGAAGAGAUGUAGUGGAGGCAGGAUCCAUACAUAGCUUAAAGCAGAGGUACGAUAAAGCUCAUGGUUCAGGGAGAGUGACCUAGUGGCGACCAGUGAAGAGGCGGGGCCAGGAGCUUGGACUCGACCCCUGCAACCUCAACUAGGCGAGUAUAACUUGGUGAGUACACACACACACACAGGGCCAGGAGCUGAGUCUUGACCCCUGCAACCACAAUUAGGUGAGUAUGUAUGUACACACACACACACACACACAGUAGAGACAGGAAGGGCUCUGGGAAGACAGCACAGAAGGGAACAUCAAGAGGGUUACCAACAGGUGUUGGAUGACAUACGAACAACCGAGGAGGAGGUGCAGAAGCUGCUAAGUGACCUUGAUACCUCAAAGGCGAUGGGACUGGGCAACAUCUCCCCGUGGGUCCUUAGAGAAGGAGCAGAGAUGCUGUGCGUGCCCCUAACCACAAUCUUCAACACAUCCCUUGAAACUGGGCAACUACCUGAGAAAUGGAAGACAGCAAAUGUAGUCCCCAUAUUUAAGAAAGGAAACAGAAAUGAGGCACUAAACUACAGACCUGUGUCUCUGACAUGUAUUGUGUGCAAAGUCAUGGAGAAGAUUAUCAGGAGGAGAGUGGUGGAACACCUGGAACAGAACAAGAUUAUAAAUGAAAACCAGCAUGGGUUCAUGGAAGGCAAAUCCUGUCACAAACCUUCUGGAGUUUUAUGACAAGGUAACAGAAGACACGAGAGAGAGGGGUGGGUUUAUUGCAUUUUCCUAGACUGCAGAAAGGCCUUUGACACAGUUUCCCACAAGAGAUUAGUGCAGAAGCUGGAGGAUCAGGCACAUAUAACAGGGAGGGCACUGCAGUGGAUCAGGGAAUACCUGACAGGGAGGCAACGACGAGUCAUGGUACGUGAAGAGGUAUCACAGUGGGAGCCUGUGACGAGCGGGGUCCCACAGGGGUCAGUUCUGGGACCAGUGUUAUUUUUGAUAUGCGAACGACAUGAUGGAAGGAAUAGACUCUGAAGUGUCCCUAUUCGCAGAUGAUGUGAAGAAUUAAAUCGGAUGAGGAUGAGGCAGGACUGCAGAGACCUGGACAGGCUGGACAUGUGGUCCAGAAACUGGCUUCUCAAAUUCAACCCUGCCAAAUGCAAAGUCAUGAAGAUUGGGGAGGGGCAAAGAAGACUGUAGGCAGAGUAUAGGCUAGGUGGACAAAGACUACAGACCUCACUCAGGGAGAAAGAACUUGGGGCGACCAUAAUACCAAGCAUGUCACCGGAGGCACACAUCAACCAAGUAACUGCUGCAGCAUAUGGGCGCCUGGCAAACCUGAGAUUAGCGUUCCGAUACCUUAAUAAGGAAUCAUUCAAGACACUGUACACUGUGUAUGUUAGGCCCAUACUGGAGUAUGCAGCACCAAUCUGGAACCCACACCUGGUCAAGCAUGUCAAGAAGUUAGAGAAAGUACAAAGGUUUGCAACAAGGCUAGUCCCAGAGCUCAGGGGAAUGUCGUACGAGGAAAGGUUGAGGGAAAUCGGACUGACAACACUGGAGGACAGAAGGGUCAGGGGAGACAUGAUAAUGACAUACAAGAUACUGCGGGAAAUAGACAAGGUGGACAGAGAUAGGAUGUUCCAGAGAUGGGACACAGAAACAAGGGGUCACAACUGGAAGCUGAAGACUCAGACGAGUCACAGGGACGUUAGGAAGUAUUUCUUCAGUCAUAGAGUCGUCAGGAAGUGGAAUAGCCUAGCAAGUGAAGUAGUGGAGGCAGGAACCAUACAUAGUUUUAAGAAGAGGUAUGAUAAAGCUCAGGAAGCAGAGAGAGGGAGGACCUAGUAGCAAUCAGUGAAGAGGCAGGGCCAGGAGCCGAGUCUCGACCCCUGCAACCACAAUUAGGUGAGUACACACACACACACACUCACCUAGAGUGAUGAUUCUCUGAGCAAGAGUGAGACAUCUGUUAUUACCUGGACUGAUGAUUGUCUGAGUAAGAGUGGGAUGUCUGUAAUUACCUGGAGUGAUGAUUAGGGAAGAGUGAGACAUCUAUAAUUACCUGGAGUGACGAUUGAGUGAGGGCAUUUUUGUAUCUCAGGAGUUUUUGUGAAUGAAGAAAUAGAUUAAGAUGGAACAUUUAGGCCAUGUUAGUCAGCAUUUUUUCAGCAUAUAUUGAUACUCACAUAAAUAAAUGUACAGUGUUUGCACAAAUAUAUUCAAUUUCUGUUAAAUGGGAAGGUCUCUCUUUUUAUUAAAAAGUUUUGUAUUAAUUUUUAAGUUAAUCAGUCUUUCAUUUUGUAAAGAAGUUAAAGCAGAUUCAAUGUUGCUUCAGUCAUAUCUUGUCAUUGUUUAUAAAGAAAUAUUUGGUGUCUUUUUGACCAGAUACUUAUUAUUGAUUUAUGGUAUUGUAUCUCUAAUUGAUAUAUACAACAUGUGUUUCUCGAUGGUUUGUGGAGACUUCACUUUCAUUUUCUCAAAAUUGUCUUUUAUUUUAAAAAUAUUUUAAGGCAAUGGGAGAGGGUGGGGGGAUCUCAUAAUAUAAUGUUUAUUCAUGCUACUCAUCUUUGUCUGCAACUUGUCUACUUAAAUUCCAAUAAGCUGAAUGAUAACAGCUUUUUUUUUAUUUUAUUAAUCAUGCCAGUCAUCUUAAUUUGGUGUAGUAACAUAAAACACUCCUAGAAGCAUUUAGAAACUUUCUAAAUGGCUACCAAUAUCAUUCACUUGAGAUUGUGCUGUUCUGUGAUAAGAUUUUAUGGUUGUGGAAAACAGCAUGGUAGAAUAAUACCUUGACACUGUGAGAGUUGUACACAUGUGUUGAGUAUUUAAAUGUUACUAUGUCAAAGGAGGGAGAUUCUGGCAGUUUGUGAUAUUUAGGCACAAAUAAAUGUGUCCAUAUAUGACCUUAGACUGGCCAUUAAUGUAAAUACCGUGAUCCAGAAGGUCAUUUUAAUAAAUAAAGAUUAAACAAAUUUAAA